GUUCAAGCAAAUGGCACACUUAGCUUCAUCAACAUUAAGAAGAACUUGUCUCUUGAAAAGUUCCAAGUUAGUGGGAAGCCUAAGUUUAAGUAAUUUCUACACAAAACAAGAGAUUUUUUAUGGCACACAAUCAAUCUAACGUUUAUUUAAAAUAGUACCUAAAGGUGAAUGACUUUGAUCCCCUUGGAUGAGAUACGCGGAUUUGACAACAUACUUUCCAGAUGCAUGUAGACUCUAAUUACAAUUGUCCUUGGUGUUCUUUUUACAGGCAUGCGGUAAAAUAAGGUCAUACAAAUUCUGGACCAAGGUUUCCUCUCUGUCAAACAAAUCUAUGCGCCAUUUGACCUCCCAAAACCACUUAUCGUCAAUCCAAAUACCACAAUCCUCCACGGUUACCCUUCUAUUCAAAGCUAAUGCAAAAAGUCUUGGAAAUAUCUCUUUCAAACUCUGGUUCCCCACCCAAAUAUCCAUCCAAAAAAGAAUUUGUGAACCAUUCCAUAUAGUCCUCCAAACGUUCUCAUCAAACCAACCUCUACCAUUACGAUGAAUAGAACCUACUUUACAUAAAUCCUUCCACCACAUAGAAGCAGAUCUAUUAGCCGAUAAAGCUAAAUUAGUUCCAUAUUUCGACUCAAUUACCUUUACCCCAAAAGCAUCCUUCUCCUGCAAUAGAUGUCAUCUCUAUUUCCCUAAAAGUGAAUCAUUAAAUUGGGAAAUAUC
rnacentral:lncRNA from 1 species